rnacentral:rRNA from 1 species
UACGAAGGGGGCUAGCGUUGCUCGGAAUCACUGGGCGUAAAGCGCACGUAGGCGGAUCGUUAAGUCGGGGGUGAAAUCCUGGAGCACAACUCCAGAACUGCCUCCGAUACUGGCGAUCUUGGAGUCCGGGAGAGGUGAGUGGAACUCCGAGUGUAGAGGUGAAAUUCGUAGAUAUUCGGAAGAACACCAGUGGCGAAGGCGGCUCACUGGCCCGGUACUGACGCUGAGGUGCGAAAGCGUGGGGAGCAAACAGG